GACGAACGCUGGCGGCGUGCCUAAUACAUGCAAGUAGAACGCACAGUUUAUACCGUAGCUUGCUACACCAUAGACUGUGAGUUGCGAACGGGUGAGUAACGCGUAGGUAACCUGCCUGGUAGCGGGGGAUAACUAUUGGAAACGAUAGCUAAUACCGCAUAAUAUUGAUUAUUGCAUGAUAAUUGAUUGAAAGAUGCUAUUGCAUCACUACCAGAUGGACCUGCGUUGUAUUAGCUAGUAGGUGAGGUAACGGCUCACCUAGGCGACGAUACAUAGCCGACCUGAGAGGGUGAGCGGCCACACUGAGACUGAGACACGGCCCAGACUGCUACGGGAGGCAGCAGUAGGGAAUCUUGGGCAAUGGGCGAAAGUCUGACCGAGCAACGCCGCGUGAGGGAAGAAGGUUUUCGGAUCGUAAAGCUCUGUUGUAAGAGAAGAACGGGUGUGAGAGUGGAAAGUUCACACUGUGACGGUAUCUUACCAGAAAGGGACGGCUAACUACGUG
rnacentral:rRNA from 1 species